AGGAGCUACACCAAUGCUACUCCUUGUGCUACUUCUAAGGUUGUGCUACUUCUAAGGUCUUCUUCAAAAUACUAAAGAGUUAAAAUCUUUCCUUCAAUCACAACAUCAUUGGCUACCCCAAAAUAAGAUGACAAAUUGAUCUUCUGAGAGUCAGUCUACCACAAUUGCUGUGAUUCUUCUUGAGUUGCCUAAGGCAGGGGAAAUAUCAGCUGUAGGAGUGCUUGCCGUUGCAGGUGGCCCUCCAGCGGAUAUUCCUCUAAUAGCCCACCUUGGGGACCCAAAGUA
rnacentral:misc_RNA from 1 species